AGUGAACGCUGGCGGUAGGCCUAACACAUGCAAGUCGAACGGCAGCAUAGUAAGAGCUUGCUAUUACGGGUGGCGAGUGGCGGACGGGUGAGGAAUACAUCGGAAUCUACUUUUUCGUGGGGGAAAAAGUCGGGAAAAUUACGCCAAUACCGCAUAAGACCUAAGGUUGAACGCAGGGGAUCUUCGGAACUUGCGCGACUGUAUGAGCCGAGGUCGUGUUAGCUAGUUGGUGGGGUGAAGGCCCACCAAGGCGACGACCCGUAGCUGGUCUGAGAUGAUGAGCAGCCACACUGCAACUGAAACGCGGUCCAGACUCCAACGGGAGGCAGCGGUGGAGAAUAUUGGACAAGGGGCGCAACGCUGGUCCGACCAUACCGCGUGGCUGGAGAAGGCCUUCUGGUUGUAAAUGCCUUUUGUUGGUAAAGAGAAGCAGCAGGUUAAUACCCCGCUGUUCUGACGGUACCCAAAGAAUAAGCACCGGCUAACUUCGUG
rnacentral:rRNA from 1 species